CCAAACUAACCGGCCAAAUUCAUCACCUUCCAUUUUAAAGGAGGGUGGUCCCGUUACAUAAGGAGUCAGUGGAAAGAUAGAUUUUUAUCUCAACUCGAAUCAACCUGGUAACUUUGUUAAAUCAGUGUUAGCCGUCAAUACGUGCAUGUACACUGAGGAGAAGAACAGUGAGAUGAAUUUCAGAUUAGCCAUGUCACUAUCAAAUGUAGAAGCAGGGCAGAGAUAUUGAAAAACCUAGUGGACAUGAUGCUCCAUCCUGCUGUUCUGUCUGACCCGGUGUCGUGCCGUUGGUUGAUGGAUGAUGGCUGACAGCAGACGCAGACAGCGUGUCAAAGCUUGUGUGUCGGGAGACAGAAGAGCCAGGAACCAGUCAGACUGAAGGUUGGGAGGUUGCAUUUGAAUCAGGAUUCAGGAUCCUGAGCCAACUCCCGAGACACGUCGGACCCUGCGGAUUUGGCAAAAUAUGUUCUAUUCACACUGGCUGUGAUGUUUGACUGACUCAUCUGGGUUUGCAAUUGAACCAGUGAGUAAAUAAAUGAGGGGGAAGUCAGUACUCACCAUAACAAGA